UGAGUCAAAAGCAUCGAGUAUAUUCAACGGAAGUUUUUCCCUUUUUUUAAGGUUUGCCCAAGUGAAAGGUGUUUGGUACUGGUCCUAGUGUGGGAACCAUAAUGUUGAAUGGGGUAAAAAUAAUGGUGUCAUUUGGCUGCACAUUUUUAAAUCGAUGUGUCCUGCUACUCAUUGUUCCCUCUUCUAUUUGAAGCUAAAGAAUAUCCAAUAAAGGUGUUAUUGUUGCUCUUACACUCUCUUCUCAUUUGGGCUGGAUUCUCCUACGAGUUUGGCAAGACUGCAGUAGCAAAAACAUCACUCGCUCAGAAAAAGGAAGAUGGAGUGCGAUCAAAAAGAGUUCCUGCUGAUGUCAAAGCAAGUCAACACAUCGUUGGAUGGGUUGGCAUGUGUUAUUUAAUGGGUUUAUUAUUUGUUGAUGUAUGGUCUCAGUUUCUGCACCCUUAUUUUCUUGGUGACAGAUUUCCUUUCUUACCCCUGAUGUUGAUCUCAAUAUAUUGUGCAUUAGGGAUCACAUACUCCUGGAUUUGGCAGCUAAGAUGGAUUGUUAGAUGUCGAUGAUUCAUCAUCACUUGAAACUCUUUUUGUUUUCUUUUUGGAAAAGUAAAAUUUUUUUUUUUUUG